rnacentral:rRNA from 1 species
CUGGGCUUGACAUCCCGAGAAUCCCCUGGAAACAGGGGAGUGCCCUUCGGGGAACUCGGAGACAGGUGCUGCAUGGCUGUCGUCAGCUCGUGUCGUGAGAUGUUGGGUUAAGUCCCGCAACGAGCGCAACCCUUGUCUUUAAUUGCCAUCAUUAAGUUGGGCACUUUAGAGAGACUGCCGGUGUUAAACCGGAGGAAGGUGGGGAUGACGUCAAGUCCUCAUGGCCUUUAUGCCCAGGGCUACGCACGUGCUACAAUGGGUGGUACAAAGAGUAGCGAGCUCGCGAGAGUAAGCGAAUCUCAAAAAGCCAUCCUCAGUUCGGAUUGAAGUCUGCAACCCGACUUCAUGAAGUUGGAAUCGCUAGUAAUCGCGGAUCAGCAUGCCGCGGUGAAUACGUUCC